rnacentral:rRNA from 1 species
GGGUGAGUAAUACAUCGGAACAUGUCCUGUAGUGGGGGAUAGCCCGGCGAAAGCCGGAUUAAUACCGCAUACGAUCUAUGGAUGAAAGCGGGGGACCUUCGGGCCUCGCGCUAUAGGGUUGGCCGAUGGCUGAUUAGCUAGUUGGUGGGGUAAAGGCCUACCAAGGCGACGAUCAGUAGCUGGUCUGAGAGGACGACCAGCCACACUGGGACUGAGACACGGCCCAGACUCCUACGGGAGGCAGCAGUGGGGAAUUUUGGACAAUGGGCGAAAGCCUGAUCCAGCAAUGCCGCGUGUGUGAAGAAGGCCUUCGGGUUGUAAAGCACUUUUGUCCGGAAAGAAAUCCUUGGCUCUAAUACAGUCGGGGGAUGACGGUACCGGAAGAAUAAGCACCGGCUAACUACGUGCCAGCAGCCGCGGUAAUACGUAGGGUGCAAGCGUUAAUCGGAAUUACUGGGCGUAAAGCGUGCGCAGGCGGUUUGCUAAGACCGAUGUGAAAUCCCCGGGCUCAACCUGGGAACUGCAUUGGUGACUGGCAGGCUAGAGUAUGGCAGAGGGGGGUAGAAUUCCACGUGUAGCAGUGAAAUGCGUAGAGAUGUGGAGGAAUACCGAUGGCGAA